rnacentral:rRNA from 1 species
UACGUAGGGUGCGAGCGUUGUCCGGAAUUAUUGGGCGUAAAGGGCUCGUAGGCGGUUUGUCGCGUCGGGAGUGAAAACACAGGGCUUAACUCUGUGCUUGCUUCCGAUACGGGCAGACUAGAGGUAUGCAGGGGAGAACGGAAUUCCUGGUGUAGCGGUGAAAUGCGCAGAUAUCAGGAGGAACACCGGUGGCGAAGGCGGUUCUCUGGGCAUUACCUGACGCUGAGGAGCGAAAGUGUGGGGAGCGAACAGGAUUAGAAACCCCCGUAGUCC